GACCACUUCACGUUGAAACACCGGUUCUCGCACGAGCAACGAAGUUAAGCAAUGCCAAGCCUGAUUAUUACCUUGAUGGGUGACCGCUUAUGAAUAUCAGGUGCUGUAA